rnacentral:piRNA from 1 species
AUAAACAUCAAUGUUUAUGAGGCCAGAAACU